rnacentral:lncRNA from 1 species
UCCGCUUCCCGGAGUUCGAGAGCACCAGCACCGGCGCCGUCGCGGCCGCCGCCGUCGGAGACGGCGACGGCGACGGCGACGCCUGGUCCAUCCGCUUCCCGGAGCUCGACAGCACCAGCACCGGCGCCGGGGAGGGGGACGGCGAGGCCCCCUGGUCCAUCCGCUUCCCGGAGUUCGACAGCACCAACACCGGCGCCGGGGAGGGGGACGGCGAGGCCCCCUGGUCCAUCCGCUUCCCGGAGUUGGAUAGCACGCGCACCGGAGCCGGCGACGGCGCCUUCGCCGAGGGGGACGGCGAGCUGGGGUUCGCCAACCCCAUCUCCAGGUCCCUCUC